UACAGAGGUCCCGAGCGUUGUUCGGAUUCACUGGGCGUAAAGGGUGCGUAGGUGGCUAGGUAAGUUCGAUGUGAAAUCUCCGAGCUCAACUCGGAAAUGUCAUUGGAUACUAUCUGGCUUGAGGGUCGGAGGGGAGACUGGAAUUCUCGGUGUAGCAGUGAAAUGCGUAGAUAUCGAGAGGAACACCAGUGGCGAAGGCGAGUCUCUGGACGACACCUGACACUGAGGCACGAAAGCUAGGGGAGCAAACAGG
rnacentral:misc_RNA from 1 species